rnacentral:rRNA from 1 species
ACACAUGCAAGUCGAACGAAGCACUUUCUCUUAUUUCUUCGGAAUGAAGAUUUUGUGACUGAGUGGCGGACGGGUGAGUAACGCGUGGGUAACCUGCCUCAUACAGGCUGAUAACAGUUGGAAACGACUGCUAAUACCGCAUAAGCGCACAGGGUCGCAUGACCUGGUGUGAAAAACUCCGGUGGUAUGAGAUGGACCCGCGUCUGAUUAGCCAGUUGGUGGGGUAACGGCCUACCAAAGCAACGAUCAGUAGCCGACCUGAGAGGGUGACCGGCCACAUUGGGACUGAGACACGGCCCAAACUCCUACGGGAGGCAGCAGUGGGGAAUAUUGCACAAUGGGGGAAACCCUGAUGCAGCGACGCCGCGUGAGCGAAGAAGUAUUUCGGUAUGUAAAGCUCUAUCAGCAGGGAAGAAGAAAUGACGGUACCUGACUAAGAAGCACCGGCUAAAUACGUGCCAGCAGCCGCGGUAAUACGUAUGGUGCAAGCGUUAUCCGGAUUUACUGGGUGUAAAGGGAGCGCAGGCGGUACGGCAAGUCUGAUGUGAAAGCCCGGGGCUCAACCCCGGUACUGCAUUGGAAACUGUCGGACUAGAGUGUCGGAGGGGUAAGUGGAAUUCCUAGUGUAGCGGUGAAAUGCGUAGAUAUUAGGAGGAACACCAGUGGCGAAGGCGGCUUACUGGACGAUUACUGACGCUGAGGCUCGAAAGCGGGGGGAGCAAACAGGAUUAGAUACCCUGGUAGUCCCCGCCGUAAACGAUGAAUUAUUGGGUGUCGGGGAGCAUUGUUUUUCGGUGCCGCAGCAAACGCAUUAAGUUUUCCACUGGGGGAGUACGUUCGCAAGAAGGAAACUCAAGGGAAUGGACGGGGACCCGCACAAGCGGUGGAGCAUGUGGUUUAAUUCGAAGCAACGCGAAGAACCUUACCAAGUCUUGACAUCCCGAUGACAGAACAUGUAAUGUGUUUUCUCUUCGGAGCAUCGGUGACAGGUGGUGCAUGGUUGUCGUCAGCUCGUGUCGUGAGAUGUUGGGUUAAGUCCCGCAACGAGCGCAACCCCUAUUCUUAGUAGCCAGCGGGUAAGCCGGGCACUCUAGGGAGACUGCCAGGGAUAACCUGGAGGAAGGUGGGGAUGACGUCAAAUCAUCAUGCCCCUUAUGACUUGGGCUACACACGUGCUACAAUGGCGUAAACAAAGGGAAGCGAGCCUGCGAGGGGGAGCAAAUCUCAAAAAUAACGUCUCAGUUCGGACUGCAGUCUGCAACUCGACUGCACGAAGCUGGAAUCGCUAGUAAUCGCGAAUCAGAAUGUCGCGGUGAAGACGUUCCCGGGUCUUGUACACACCGCCCGUCACACCAUGGGAGUUGGUAAUGCCCGAAGUCAGUGACCCACCCGCAAGGGGGGAGCUGCCGAAGGCAG